CAUUCACGGAGAGUUUGAUCCUGGCUCAGGACGAACGCUGGCGGCGUGCUUAACACAUGCAAGUCGAACGGUGAAGCCCUUCGGGGUGGAUCAGUGGCGAACGGGUGAGUAACACGUGGGCAAUCUGCCCUGCACUCUGGGACAAGCCUUGGA
rnacentral:rRNA from 1 species